rnacentral:rRNA from 1 species
GAUGAACGCUAGCUACAGGCCUAACACAUGCAAGUCGAGGGGCAGCAUGGGAGGAGCUUGCUUUUCCCGAUGGCGACCGGCGAAUGGGUGAGUCACGCGUGUCCAACCUGCCCCCCGCCCGGGGAUAGCCCUUGGAAAUGAGGAUUAAGACCCGAUACGUGCGCAUUCCGCAUGGCGUGCGCAUGAAACCAGGCAGGGGAUGGGGACGCGUCGGAUUAGCUUGACGGCGGGGCAACGGCCCACCGUGGCGACGAUCCGCAGGGGUUCUGAGAGGAAGGUCCCCCCACACUGGCACUGAGACACGGGCCAGACUCC